UAUCUCUGUAGAGUCUGCAUAUCAAUAAGCGGAGGAAAAGAAACUAACAAGGAUUCCCUUAGUAACGGCGAGUGAAGCGGGAAGAGCUCAAAUUUGAAAUCUUCAAGGUUUUACCUUGACGAACUGUAGUUUAAAGAAGUGUUUUCUGUUGAAGUUUCGGUAAAAGUUCUUUGGAAUAGGACAUCAUAGAGGGUGAGAAUCCCGUAUUUGACCAUUACUUUCCAGCUGUGUGAUACACUUUCAAAGAGUCGGAUUGUUUGGGAAUGCAGUCCAAGAUGGGUGGUAAAUUUCAUCUAAAGCUAAAUAUUGGCGAGAGACCGAUAGCGAACAAGUACCGUGAGGGAAAGAUGAAAAGAACUUUGAAAAGAGAGUUAAACAGUACGUGAAAUUGUCAAAAGGGAAGCGUUUGACACCAGUGUUGUUUUCUCGAAAAUCAAUUAAAAAGUGUUGGAUUUUGUAUUGUUAAGACCUUAUCAGCUUACUGUACUCUUUUCCUGCUCUUUUUAAUGCACUUUUCGUUUAACAAGUCAACAUCAAUUUCUUUUGUUGUAAAAGAGUCAUUGGAAGGUGGCUUUCACUUCGGUGAAAGUGUUUAUAGCCUUUGGCUUCUGCAAUCGGAGAGAUUGAGGUCUGCAGCGUAGAUCCUUCGGGGCUAGAUACGUAGAUGCUAAGUUAUAGUUUUUUAUAGACAACUUGUUGACUAUGAUUAAUCAUGUAGCUUACUCGUUUGCGCUAUUUUACCUACGCUUAGGAUGUUGAAUCUGUGCGAGACUAC
rnacentral:rRNA from 1 species